rnacentral:rRNA from 1 species
UACGGGGGGGGCAAGCGUUGUUCGGAAUUACUGGGCGUAAAGGGCUCGUAGGUGGCCAACUAAGUCAUACGUGAAAUCCCUCGGCUUAACCGGGGAACUGCGUCUGAUACUGGAUGGCUUGAGGUUGGGAGAGGGAUGCGGAAUUCCAGGUGUAGCGGUGAAAUGCGUUGAUAUCCACAGGAACUCCGGUGGCGAAGGCGGCUUGCUGGACCUUUUCUGACGCUGAGGCGCGAAAGCCAGGGGAGCAAACGGG